rnacentral:rRNA from 1 species
UCGGAUUGCAGGCUGCAACCCGCCCUGCAUGAAGUUGGAAUCGCUAGUAAUCGCGGAUCAGCAUGCCGCGGUGAAUACGUUCCCGGGCCCUGUACACACCGCCCGUCACACCAUGAGAGUCGGGAACACCCGAAGUCCGUAGCCUGACCGCAAGGGGGGCGCGGCCGAAGGUGGGUUCGAUAAUUGGGGUGAAGUCGUAACAAGGUAGC